rnacentral:lncRNA from 1 species
UCUCUGUAUACUCUUUCUUUCAGAAUCACAGAAUCCAGGGGCAAGGCAAAAAUCAAGAUAAUUGGAGAUGGCCUCUGAUAAAGUGGAUGAACUUGGUUUCUCUGGUGUCUGAUCAAGUUGUAAUCACUCUAAAGUACCCCGUUCAGUCACCUUCAAGGCUAUUGGAGCAGAUUGUUUUCAUCUUUCCUUUGUCCUGGAAGAAGCCUUCACAUGCUUGAGGAAAAGGAUAAAAUCACUGAUGAUGAAAAGUCCUGGAGGUGGCAAGAGAUGGACUCAAUGGAUGAAGCAGAGUGUUACCUAUUCCUCAGAGAAAUGAGUGAAAAAAAAUGAAGAAAGAAGUUGAAUGAAGAUACAGAAGCUGACAUGGAAAGAACAAGGUCCUGAAAAGAUAGAAUCGAUUCAGCCAAACUCAGCAAAUCCUUUGCCAAUUAGGGUGUUAUGGGGAAUUAUUUGCAGAGGAAGGAGUCUGAAAUAAUUGAAAUCCAGUGGCAAGACAACAAUCAAAAUAAAUUGUGAUAGCUUGGGACA